rnacentral:rRNA from 1 species
GACGAACGCUGGCGGCGUGCUUAACACAUGCAAGUCGAACGGAAAGGCCUGUCCUUCCUUGUGUUGGACGGGUACUCGAGUGGCGAACGGGUGAGUAACACGUGAGUGAUCUGCCCCCAACUUGGGUAUAAGCCUGGGAAACUGGGUCUAAUUCCCGAUAGGACUGCAGGGUGGUGCCUGUGGUGGAAAACGAUUUUCUAGUGGUUGGGGAUGAGCUCGCGGCCUAUCAGCUUGUUGGUGGGGUAAUGGCCUACCAAGGCGGCGACGGGUAGCCGGCCUGAGAGGGUGGAUGGCCACAUUGGGACUGAGAUACGGCCCAGACUCCUACGGGAGGCAGCAGUGGGGAAUAUUGCACAAUGGGCGGAAGCCUGAUGCAGCGACGCCGCGUGGGGGAUGACGGCCUUCGGGUUGUAAACUCCUUUCGACCGCGAGGAAGCCGCCUGGUUGGAAGGGUGGUGACGGUAGUGGUAGAAGAAGCACCGGCUAACUACGUG